GCAGUCGAGCGGUAGCACAGAGAGCUUGCUCUCGGGUGACGAGCGGCGGACGGGUGAGUAAUGUCUGGGAAACUGCCUGAUGGAGGGGGAUAACUACUGGAAACGGUAGCUAAUACCGCAUAACGUCGCAAGACCAAAGUGGGGGACCUUCGGGCCUCAUGCCAUCAGAUGUGCCCAGAUGGGAUUAGCUAGUAGGUGGGGUAACGGCUCACCUAGGCGACGAUCCCUAGCUGGUCUGAGAGGAUGACCAGCCACACUGGAACUGAGACACGGUCCAGACUCCUACGGGAGGCAGCAGUGGGGAAUAUUGCACAAUGGGCGCAAGCCUGAUGCAGCCAUGCCGCGUGUGUGAAGAAGGCCUUCGGGUUGUAAAGCACUUUCAGCGGGGAGGAAGGCGAUAAGGUUAAUAACCUUGUCGAUUGACGUUACCCGCAGAAGAAGCACCGGCUAACUCCGUGCCAGCAGCCGCGGUAAUACGGAGGGUGCAAGCGUUAAUCGGAAUUACUGGGCGUAAAGCGCACGCAGGCGGUCUGUCAAGUCGGAUGUGAAAUCCCCGGGCUCAACCUGGGAACUGCAUUCGAAACUGGCAGGCUAGAGUCUUGUAGAGGGGGGUAGAAUUCCAGGUGUAGCGGUGAAAUGCGUAGAGAUCUGGAGGAAUACCGGUGGCGAAGGCGGCCCCCUGGACAAAGACUGACGCUCAGGUGCGAAAGCGUGGGGAGCAAACAGGAUUAGAUACCCUGGUAGUCCACGCCGUAAACGAUGUCGAUUUGGAGGUUGUGCCCUUGAGGCGUGGCUUCCGGAGCUAACGCGUUAAAUCGACCGCCUGGGGAGUACGGCCGCAAGGUUAAAACUCAAAUGAAUUGACGGGGGCCCGCACAAGCGGUGGAGCAUGUGGUUUAAUUCGAUGCAACGCGAAGAACCUUACCUGGUCUUGACAUCCACAGAACUUAGCAGAGAUGGUUUGGUGCCUUCGGGAACUGUGAGACAGGUGCUGCAUGGCUGUCGUCAGCUCGUGUUGUGAAAUGUUGGGUUAAGUCCCGCAACGAGCGCAACCCUUAUCCUUUGUUGCCAGCGGUUCGGCCGGGAACUCAAAGGAGACUGCCAGUGAUAAACUGGAGGAAGGUGGGGAUGACGUCAAGUCAUCAUGGCCCUUACGACCAGGGCUACACACGUGCUACAAUGGCAUAUACAAAGAGAAGCGACCUCGCGAGAGCAAGCGGACCUCAUAAAGUAUGUCGUAGUCCGGAUUGGAGUCUGCAACUCGACUCCAUGAAGUCGGAAUCGCUAGUAAUCGUAGAUCAGAAUGCUACGGUGAAUACGUUCCCGGGCCUUGUACACACCGCCCGUCACACCAUGGGAGUGGGUUGCAAAAGAAGUAGGUAGCUUAACCUUCGGGAGGGCGCU
rnacentral:rRNA from 1 species